rnacentral:rRNA from 1 species
UACGAAGGGGGCUAGCGUUGCUCGGAAUCACUGGGCGUAAAGGGUGCGUAGGCGGGUCUUUAAGUCAGGGGUGAAAUCCUGGAGCUCAACUCCAGAACUGCCUUGAUACUGAAGAUCUUGAGUCCGGGAGAGGUGAGUGGAACUGCGAGUGUAGAGGUGAAAUUCGUAGAUAUUCGCAAGAACACCAGUGGCGAAGGCGGCUCACUGGCCCGGUACUGACGCUGAGGCGCGAAAGCGUGGGAGCAAACAGG